GUGGUUGACACGAUGGGCGAGGAUGAGGCCGCCGCAGCUCAGCCGGGUGAGCUGCACGAAGAGGAGUGGGGAGGUGAGGAAGUCGGUGUCCCCGUGGAUGAGCUGGUCGAGACACGGGAAUGGCGGCUGGGGGUGGAGGCCGAGCUGAUGGAGGUUGAUGUCAGCUUCAGCCUCGACAAAGACGGCACCCUCACCGGUGCAGUCGACCGCGAGCUUUGGGCCGGGGAGCUCGCGGAGG
rnacentral:misc_RNA from 1 species